rnacentral:rRNA from 1 species
AGUGAACGCUGGCGGUAGGCCUAACACAUGCAAGUCGAACGGCAGCACAGUAAGAGCUUGCUCUUACGGGUGGCGAGUGGCGGACGGGUGAGGAAUACAUCGGAAUCUACUUUUUCGUGGGGGAUAACGUAGGGAAACUUACGCUAAUACCGCAUACGACCUACGGGUGAAAGCAGUGGAUCUUCGGACCUUGCGCGAUUGAAUGAGCCGAUGUCGUAUUGGCUAGUUGGCGGGGUAAAGGCCCACCAAGGCGACGAGCCGUAGCUGGUCUGAGGGGAUGGUCGGCCAGACUGGAGCGGAGGCAGGGUCCAGACACCUAAGGGGAGCAGCAGUGGAAAAUAUUGGGCGAUGGGCGCGAGCCUGAUCCAGCCCUACCGAGUGGGUGAAGAAGGCCUUCGGGUUGUAAAGCCAUUUUGUUGGGAAAGAAAAGCAGCAGGUUAAUACCCCGCUGUUCUGACGGUACCCAAAGAAUAAGCACCGGCUAACUUCGUG